rnacentral:lncRNA from 1 species
CAGUGAGCAGAAUAAUAUAAUAUUCAAUUUAUUUUUCAUGCUUUCAUGAAAUGCAACAUAUCACAAACAAUUCACAUCAAUGAUGAACUUGUCACCAAUAGCCCACUACUGAAUCCAAUAGUGCCAGGGGCGUAGUGCCAGGGGCGUAGUGCAGGCCACAUCUGGUCUUUCUCUUAUACAUAACAUAUCAUAACAUAUCCAAUCAUGCCAAGGGCGUAGUGCAGGCCACUUCCGGUCUUUCUCUUACAUAAUGCCAGGGGCGUA